CUGUUAACAAGAAGUGUUUUCUCCAGAAGUCUUCUUAGUGUUCAAGAACCUAUUGACUCUUUUUUUUGGGGGGGGGGGCGGCGGUCAUGUGGAAAUAGAACACUUGCAGAGUGACUUCAUAAUCGUGUCUGAGGUUCCUAUCAUAGGGCCACUGCCACCAGUUCUGUAGCAGAACUCAGCCUUGGGACUCUUAUGAAGAAACUCUGGGCUGAAGGAAUCCAGAGAAAGAGAGAGAGAGAGAGAGAGAGAGAGAGAGAGAGAGAGAGAGAGAGAGGAAUUGCAUUGCUUCUCAUGGCAAAGCCAGAAGCUUUCCUCUUGGUUCUCUUGGCUACUAGCUACUACUUCUUAGCCAGAACCUGAUACAAUAGAAGCAGGUGGUUUAAUUGCUACAUCAGUGUUGGAGCAGGAGGACAAGUGAAGGGUUGUCCUGGAGCAGUGCUUGAAAGAAACCAAGGCUGAGAAGCAGAAGAUGUUAUCGGUGAAACUUCAUUUAAGGUAAGU
rnacentral:lncRNA from 1 species